rnacentral:rRNA from 1 species
AUGACAAGGACAAAAGGGCAAGGUGGCAUGGGGUUCAAAGACAUGAGAAUUUUCAAUCAGGCACUCCUCGCACAUCAAGCAUGGAGACUGCUACAGGCUCCUGAAAGUCUAUGUGCCCGUGUGUUGAAGGCGCGCUAUUAUCCGCAAGGAAACCUCCUAGACACGGUCUUCACCGGGCAGCCAUCGUCCACCUGGACGGCCAUUGCCCAUGGCUUGGAGCUGCUCAAAGAAGGCAUGAUAUGGCGUAUCGGGAACGGAGAAUCUGUCCGCAUCUGGCGGGAUAAUUGGUUACCACGCUCUACCUCGCUCAAACUAAUUGGCCCCCGUGGCCGAUCGAGACUCAUCUGGGUCUCUAGUCUGCUAGAUCAGUACAGCGCAUGGGAUGAGGCUGCUGUGUGGGCGAAUUUUGCACCGAUUGAUGCUUGUAAAAUACUCAAAAUCCGCACCUCGCCGCGUGGUGAACCGGACUUCCUCGCCUGGCAACCGGAGAAAAAUGGAAUAUUUACUUUCAGUAGUGCCUAUAGACUAGGUCUGAAUCUGACGGAGAGUGCGCGCAAUGUGCCGGCUGCGAGGAAUAGCCCAAGUGGAGACCGCCAAAUCUGGAAGAAGAUCUGGAGUCUGCCGGUACCCCCUAGGGUCCGGACGUUUGCAUGGCUGGCAAUCACAAACUCACUAGCAACGGAGGACAACAAGAAGGGCCACCAUAUCCCUGUUACUGGUGUGUGUUUGAUAUGUGGCCAUGAGCAGGAAGAUGUCCUUCACGCCCCGUACAACUGUCCACAUGUACGUGAACUUUGGAAUGCCAUGCGUGAGGUUUGGACACUCCCAUCACAUGCAAUAAUGGAGCGGCUACAAGGGGAAUGGAUUCCAGAGCUCAUCCUACCCCGUUCCCCUGAUGAGUGUGCUCAUAUCCUAAUGGUUCUGUGGAGGGCGUGGUAUGUCAGAAACGAACUCACUCAUGCUAAA